ACAUGAAUUACUUUGAGAUCUUGUUAAAAUGCAGUGUCUGAUCAAGGAGACUUGGAGUCCAAAUAUUUUGCAUUUCUAACAAGCUCCCAGGUGAUGCUAUC
rnacentral:miRNA from 1 species